rnacentral:rRNA from 1 species
GAUGAACGCUGGCGGCGUGCCUAAUACAUGCAAGUCGUGCGAACAGACGAGGAGCUUGCUCCUCUGACGUUAGCGGCGGACGGGUGAGUAACACGUGGAUAACCUACCUAUAAGACUGGGAUAACUUCGGGAAACCGGAGCUAAUACCGGAUAAUAUAUUGAACCGCAUGGUUCAAUAGUGAAAGACGGUUUUGCUGUCACUUAUAGAUGGAUCCGCGCCGCAUUAGCUAGUUGGUAAGGUAACGGCCUACCAAGGCAACGAUGCGUAGCCGACCUGAGAGGGUGAUCGGCCACACUGGAACUGAGACACGGUCCAGACUCCUACGGGAGGCAGCAGUAGGGAAUCUUCCGCAAUGGGCGAAAGCUUGACGGAGCAACGCCGCGUGAGUGAUGAAGGUCUUCGGAUCGUAAAACUCUGUUAUUAGGGAAGAACAAAUGUGUAAGUAACUAUGCACGUCUUGACGGUACCUAAUCAGAAAGCCACGGCUAACUACGUG